rnacentral:tRNA from 1 species
GUGGGAUUAGCUCAGUUGGUAGAGCAUCUGAUUGUGGUUCAGAGGGUCGCGGGUUCAAGUCCCGUAUCUCACC